UGGGGAAUUUUGGACAAUGGGCGAAAGCCUGAUCCAGCAAUGCCGCGUGUGUGAAGAAGGCCUUCGGGUUGUAAAGCACUUUUGUCCGGAAAGAAAUCCUUGGCUCUAAUACAGUCGGGGGAUGACGGUACCGGAAGAAUAAGCACCGGCUAACUACGUGCCAGCAGCCGCGGUAAUACGUAGGGUGCAAGCGUUAAUCGGAAUUACUGGGCGUAAGCGUGCGCAGGCGGUUUGCUAAGACCGAUGUGAAAUCCCCGGGCUCAACCUGGGAACUGCAUUGGUGACUGGCAGGCUAGAGUAUGGCAGAGGGGGGUAGAAUUCCACGUGUAGCAGUGAAAUGCGUAGAGAUGUGGAGGAAUACCGAUGGCGAAGGCAGCCCCCUGGGCCAAUACUGACGCUCAUGCACGAAAGCGUGGGGAGCAAACAGGAUUAGAUACCCUGGUAGUCCACGCCCUAAACGAUGUCAACUAGUUGUUGGGGAUUCAUUUCCUUAGUAACGUAGCUAACGCGUGAAGUUGACCGCCUGGGGAGUACGGUCGCAAGAUUAAACUUAAUGAAUUGACGGGGUCAUAGCUGUUUCCU
rnacentral:rRNA from 1 species